rnacentral:misc_RNA from 1 species
GUAAUGCUCCAUUCUAUGUUAAAUAUAAUCAUAAAUGGAAACUGACAAUCAGUUUGUAACAUCGAUGCAUGGAAAUUGUUAUUCUUUGAAGCAAAAGCGAUCGAUGAAAAACAGCCAACAACGUGCGCAUAGUUGGAGAUACUUAUUUUUAUCAAAAAAGUUAUUGUAGUUACCUAAUUUCUUUAAUUUAAUAUUAAUUUAAAACCAUUCACUAUUAAUUUGAUAUUCAUGAUUGUGACACUUAAUUAUUUAAUUUGCCGGUUGACAACAAAUAAAUCAAAAGGUGUAAUUAAUAACAAGUAUUCAAACAGUCUUCUAUGAAAUGAACAAAAAUGAGUCGACAAGUAGAUAUGGACCCCUCGUCGGUGCAAUCGACGAAGGGACAAGUAGUGCUAGAUUUUUGGUUUUUGCUGCAGAUACAGCUGAAGUGUUAACAUAUCAUCAGGUUCCAAUAACACAAACAUGUCCAAAAGAAGGAUGGGUUGAGCAAGAUCCCGUAGAAAUAUUAAAAGCAGUUAGAGAAUGUCUUAAUCAGACUAUAUUUAAUUUACGCCAGCUUACCAUAGAUCCUACUGAUAUAGUUGCAGUUGGUAUAACAAAUCAAAGAGAAACUACAGUUGUAUGGGAUUCCAUUACUGGAGAACCAUUAUAUAAUGCUAUAGUAUGGAUGGAUAUGAGAACUACUUCAAUUGUAGAUGAUAUAUUAAAAAAAAUACGUAAUCAAAAUAAAAACUAUUUGAAACCACUUUGUGGUUUACCAAUUAGUCCAUAUUUCAGUGGUUUAAAAUUAAAAUGGUUGUUAGAAAAUGUACCUCGUGUACGUGAGGCUCUAGAUUUAAAACGGUGCAUGUUUGGCACAAUUGAUUCAUGGUUAAUUUGGAAUUUAACUGGAGGUGUUCAUGCCACUGAUGUUACAAAUGCUUCAAGAACAAUGUUAAUGAAUAUCACAACUUUAAAAUGGGAUCCAACAUUAUUAUCAUUUUUUAAUAUACCUUCAGAAAUUUUACCAGAGAUUCGUAGUUCGUCAGAAAUAUAUGGUUAUAUACAAGAUGAAGUUUUAUCUGGUGUACCAAUAUCAGGAUGUUUAGGUGAUCAACAGUCAGCAUUAGUAGGACAAAUGUGUUUACAAAAAGGACAAGCAAAAAGCACUUAUGGCACAGGCUGUUUUCUUUUAUAUAAUACUGGAACUGCUAUUGUAGAUUCAUCUCAUGGAUUAUUGACAACAGUUGCUUAUCAAUUAGGACCACAAGCAGCACCAAUAUAUGCUCUUGAAGGCUCUAUAGCUAUAGCUGGUGCUGUUAUUCAAUGGCUAAAAGAUAAUCUUGGAGUACUAUCUGAUGUAAAGGAAUCUGAAUCUCUUGUUGAACAAAUUCCAACUGAUAAUCGUGUUACAUUUGUACCUGCAUUUGCUGGAUUAUAUGCUCCAUAUUGGAGGAAAGAUGCAAGAAGUGUUAUAUGUGGAAUUACUGAAGACACAAAUAGUACACAUAUUAUAAAGGCAGCUUUGCAAGCUGUUUGUUUUCAGACAAGAGACAUUUUGGAAGCUAUGAAAGAAGACACAGGUUUAACAUUAUCUAAAUUGUUAGUUGAUGGUGCUAUGACUACUAAUAAUUUGUUAAUGCAAAUGCAAGCAGAUAUUUGUGGAAUUCCAGUUGAAAGUGAGGCCUUUAAUGUGUGAAACUACUGCACUUGGAGUUGCAAUUGCUGCAGGAAAUGCAGAUGGUAUACGAAAAUGGGAUGUAAAACUUGAUAUUGCUGUACCAAGUGAUAUUUUCUUACCUUCAAUAUCUGAGAAUGAACGAGAUAUAUUAUAUUCACAAUGGAAAAUGGCUAUUGAUCGUAGUUUAGGUUGGGAACCAGUUUCUAAUACCAAUGAUAAUAUAAAGAAUAUUCACAAAGCAACUGCUCCAGGUAUUUUUAUGAUAAGUACAUUACUUUUACUUAUGAUUGCAAAAUAUCAUUCUAUGUUAUGACUGAAAGAGUACAGUACCAUGUACUGUACUUAUCUCAAAUAAUGCAUUUGGGCAGGUCCUGUUUGCUAACAAGUAUUUAGAUUAUUAUUUGAUAUUAAUAUACUGAUCAUUAAACUUUGUAAAAAUAAUAUUAUUUAUAAGUAAAGAAUGAACUAAAGAACAAAUAUAAAUAAAUGUGCCAUAA